rnacentral:rRNA from 1 species
AUGGGGAGGAACACCCAGGGGCGAAGGCGAUUAAAUGGACUAUAACUGACGCUGAGGAGCGAAAGUGUGGGUAGCAAACAGGAUUAGAUACCUUGGUAGUCCACACUGUAAACGAUGAAUGCUAGGUGUAGGUGGUAUCGCCCCCAUCUGUGCCGCAGUAAACACAAUAAGCAUUCCGCCUGGGGAGUACGGCCGCAAGGUUGAAACUCAAAGAAAUUAACGGGGGCCCGCACAAGCAGCGGAGCAUGUGGUUUAAUUCGAAGCAACGCGAAGAACCUUACCAGGUCUUGACAUCCAGUAAAAGCCAGAGAGAUUUGGUGUGCCUUCGGGCAUACUGAGACAGGUGGUGCAUGGUUGUCGUCAGCUCGUGUCGUGAGAUGUUGGGUUAAGUCCCGCAACGAGCGCAACCCCUAUUAUUAGUUACUAACAAGUAGUGUUGAGGACUCUAAUGAGACUGCCGGGGAUAACUCGGAGGAAGGUGGGGACGACGUCAAAUCAUCAUGCCCCUUAUGACCUGGGCUACACACGUGCUACAAUGGCCACUACAGAGAGCAGCGAACCCGUGAGGGCGAGCGAAUCUCAAAAAAGUGGUCUCAGUUCGGAUUGUAGGCUGCAACCCGCCUACAUGAAGUCGGAGUUGCUAGUAAUCGCGGAUCAGCACGCCGCGGUGAAUACGUUCCCGGGCCUUGUACUCACCGCCCGUCA